UGGCUCAGAUGGUAAAGUGUCUGCCUACAAUGCAGGAGAUCCAGGUUCGAUCCCUGG
rnacentral:tRNA from 1 species